ACGCUAGCGACGUGCCUAAGGUAUGCAAGUCGAAUGCCGAUUUAUCGGCAUGGCAGACGGCUGAGUAAUACAUGGGAAUCUACCUCAAACUCGAGAAUAGCCCAUCGAAAGGUGGUGUAAUACUCGAUAGUUCCGUUUACGGUAAAGCUCCGGCGGUUUGAGAUGAGCCCAUGUCCUAUCAGGUUGUUGGUGGGGUAAUUGCCUACCAAGCCUAUGACGGGUAGCUGGUUUGAGAGGAUGAUCAGCCAGACUGGGACUGCGAUACGGCCCAGACUCCUACGGGAGGCAGCAACUAGGAAUCAUGCGCAAUGGACGAAAGUCUGACGCUGCGACGUCGCGUGAGGGAUGAAGGUCUUCGGAUCGUAAACCUCUUUUAUCUGGGAACAAGUUCUGAGUGUACCAGAUGAAUAAGUGCCUGCCAACCACGUGCCAGAAGCAUCGGUAAUGCGUGGGGCACGAGCGUUAUCCGGAUUUACUGGGCGUAAAGAGAUGCGUAGGCGCCUUUUUAAGUCACUUGUAAAAUCUCCCCGCUCAACGGGGAAACUGCAAGUGAUACUGAAUUGGUUGAGUCAAGUAGAGGAGAGGGGAAUUCCUGGUGGAGCGGUUAAAUGCGUUGAUAUCAGGAGGAAUACCAAGUGCGAAGGCACCUCUCUGGACUUGUACUGACGCUAUGGCUCGAAAGUGUGGGGAGCAAAACGGAUUAGAUACCCGUGUAGUCCACACUGUAAACGAUCCCUGCUAGAUGUUUG
rnacentral:rRNA from 1 species